GUCGACAGCCAUACCGCCCUGAGCGUGCCUGGCCUCGUCUGAUCUCAGAAGCUAAGCAGGGUGGAAGCCUGGUGAGUACUUGGAUGGGAGAAGGCACGGAGUCCGGGUUUUUUAAACA
rnacentral:rRNA from 1 species